UAAUUUUGGGACGAAUCGUACCCUCUCAUCCACUGAGCUUAGAGAUAUUGUUGAUUUAAAGUCAAUAGUACCGCAACUGGUAUGUUCUUAUCUCUUUUAUUAUUCAAAGUCUUUAUUUUCUCACUUGAAAUACGCAUAUAGAACCUUCUUUUAUUGUUUUAUAGGUUAUGGACAUCUUCAUAAAUAGCAUAAGGAUUGAUUGGUAAGCCAAAACUAGUAUCUUGAUGCACCAAGAUGUCGCAUUCAUUGAUUCCACCUUUGUUUAUGAAUUAUUCAAGUAUUACCCCAAGUUUAGC
rnacentral:lncRNA from 1 species